GACGAACGCUGGCGGCGUGCUUAACACAUGCAAGUCGAGCGGUAAGGCCCUUUCGGGGGUACGACGAGCGGCGAACGGGUGAGUAACACGUGGGUGACCUGCCCUCAGCUCUGGGAUAAGCCUGGGAAAACCGGGGUCGUAAUAACCGGAUAUGACUCCAUGACGCAUGUUGUGGGGUGGAAAGCCUUGUGCGGCUGAGGAUGGGCCCGCGGCCUAUCAGCUUGUUGGUGGGGUGAUGGCCUACCAAGGCGACGACGGGUAGCCGGCCUGAGAGGGCGACCGGCCACACUGGGACUGAGACACGGCCCAGACUCCUACGGGAGGCAGCAGUGGGGAAUCUUGCGCAAUGGGCGAAAGCCUGACGCAGCGACGCCGCGUGAGGGAUGACGGCC
rnacentral:rRNA from 1 species